rnacentral:rRNA from 1 species
AUAGAACCUGAAACCCUGCACUUACAAGCUGUGGAAGCACAUUUCUUGUGUGACCGCGUACUUUUUGUAGAACGGGCCAACGAGUUACGUUAAGUAGCAAGGUUAAGCACUUAAGGUGUGGAGCCGUAGCGAAAGCGAGUUUUAACUGAGCGUUCAGUUACUUGACGUAGACCCGAAACCGGGCGACCUACCCAUGAGCAGGAUGAAGCGAAAGUAAAAUUUCGUGGAGGUCCGAACCCACGAGCGUUGAAAAGCUCGGGGAUGACUUGUGGGUAGCGGUGAAAUUCCAAUCGAGCCCGGAGAUAGCUGGUUCUCCCCGAAAUAGCUUUAGGGCUAGCCUCAAGGUGAGAGAUACGGAGGUAGAGCACUGAAUGUCCUAGGGGGUAUUGCACCUACCGAAGACUAUCAAACUCCGAAUGCCGUCAUCUU